AUUUCAACCAACGGCUAAGUCCCCCGCUCACCCCGCCCUUUCGAAACGCAUACAGAAGCUACGGAAGCUGACACAGGACAAAAAUGUCGUCGUCUGUUACACCUGACAGUAGCCAAUCAAGCGAUGAGGUUUCUGUACAAAGGUUUCCCAGCAUUUUAAGCAGAAUUUCUGAGGUUUUCAAUCUGUAUACUUACAGGGACAAAAACGUCAGAUUCUGAAAUGGACAGAUUGUACAGCUAGAAAUGAAAUACAGACAGAAAAUGGCAGCUCUGUCAAAGAUGUCACAUGCAUGCCAAACAGACUGGAAAGAUAUGGUUUCACAUUAGUUGUGGUUCUAACAUCACUGUUCAUCAUUUUAUA